rnacentral:tRNA from 1 species
GUAAAUAAAGCUUUAAAGAAGCAACAGAUUUGUAAUCUGAAGAUCAUGUAAAAAUAUGUAUUUACU